rnacentral:rRNA from 1 species
AUGUGUGGUCAGGUGAUUUUGUCGGAUAAGCCUGGCAAAGUUAAAUGGCUACUUACAAACUCCGGUAGCUUUUUCGUUAAAUCUCGGUAUCACUAUCUUAUAGCUAGACAAGUCGUUUUCCCUUUUAAAAAACUAUGGAGGAUGAAGAUGCCUCUUAAAGUUAAGGCAUUCUCUUGGUUAGUAAUCAAAAAUAGGAUUCUGACCAAGGACAAUCUGAAUAAAAAAGGCUGGAAAUGUGCUAAGUUUUGUGAAUUUUGUGACUGUGAAGAGAGUGUGAAUCAUUUAUUUUUCUCUUGUUCCUUAGCUAAGUUCCUGUGGAAUAUUGUGGGAUGUGCUCUAGGGAGCCAGAGAGCUCCAAUGUCUUUUUUUGACUUAUGCCAGAACUGGUUGUCUAGCUAUACUGGCAAAGAUAGAGUAGUUGUUUUAUUGGGUAGUGCUGCUCUAUUGUGGUCUAUAUGGAAAACAAGGAACAAAUCCUGUUUUCAAAGUGUUAUGCCUAGAGAUCCUACUGACAUUAUCUUUCUUGUAUGUUCCCUACUUGACUCAUGGAAAAAUCUGCAGAAAAGAGGGGUGCAAAGCAUGCUUCAUCGGGUGUCUAGGCGUAUCGUGAGGGUGACUCGUGAUAUCUUGAGAGGAGGGCAUGGUUUGGCGCCGCAUGUGAGAAGGAUUUUGUGA